UACGAAGGGGGCUAGCGUUGCUCGGAAUCACUGGGCGUAAAGCGCACGUAGGCGGCUUUUUAAGUCAGGGGUGAAAUCCCGAGGCUCAACCUCGGAACUGCCUUUGAUACUGGGGAUAUCGAGUCCGGGAGAGGUGAGUGGAACUGCGAGUGUAGAGGUGAAAUUCGUAGAUAUUCGCAAGAACACCAGUGGCGAAGGCGGCUCACUGGCCCGGUACUGACGCUGACGGUGCGAAAGCGUGGGGAGCAAACAGGG
rnacentral:rRNA from 1 species